rnacentral:rRNA from 1 species
UACGUAGGGGGCUAGCGUUGUCCGGAAUCAUUGGGCGUAAAGCGCGUGUAGGCGGUUCGGUAAGUCCGCUGUGAAAGUCGGGGGCUCAACCCUCGGAUGCCGGUGGAUACUGUCGGGCUUGAGUACGGAAGAGGCGAGUGGAAUUCCUGGUGUAGCGGUGAAAUGCGCAGAUAUCAGGAGGAACACCGAUGGCGAAGGCAGCUCGCUGGGACGGUACUGACGCUGAGGCGCGAAAGCGUGGGGAGCAAACAGG